rnacentral:lncRNA from 1 species
GUGCUACCUGAGGCAGGCCGUAGGUAGGGUGCAAAGGACCGGAAGAGGGAAAGAAACCUCUUUUUUUCUUUUUUUCAGGCUUACCCUCAGCCCAGGAUAGCCCUGACUGCAAUUUUCCGACAUCUAGGGCAGCUCCAGGCUCUGAUUCUCCACAGCAAACACAGUGAGCGAGCUCGCCAGUCGCCCAGUCUGCGGAGGCUCCCAGGCCAGCCCCGGCACCCGACUGCCGAGAAGCCCAGAGCUUCCCCAUUAGCCAGCAGAGGCUGGUGGAGAGCCUGGAUGGAGAGAUGGGGUUUCACUGUGUUACCCAGGCUGGUCUCAAAUUCCUGGACUCAAGCAAUCCUCCUGUCUUGUACUCCCGCCAUGCUAGGAUUACAGGUGAGAGCCACUGCACCCAAC